rnacentral:rRNA from 1 species
GACGAACGCUGGCGGCGUGCUUAACACAUGCAAGUCGAACGGAAAGGCCCUGCUUUUGUGGGGUGCUCGAGUGGCGAACGGGUGAGUAACACGUGAGUAACCUGCCCUUGACUUUGGGAUAACUUCAGGAAACUGGGGCUAAUACCGGAUAGGAGCUCCUGCUGCAUGGUGGGGGUUGGAAAGUUUCGGCGGUUGGGGAUGGACUCGCGGCUUAUCAGCUUGUUGGUGGGGUAGUGGCUUACCAAGGCUUUGACGGGUAGCCGGCCUGAGAGGGUGACCGGCCACAUUGGGACUGAGAUACGGCCCAGCCUCCUACGGGAGGCAGCAGUGGGGAAUAUUGAACAAUGGGCGGAAGCCUGAUGCAGCAACGCCGCGUGCGGGAUGACGGCCUUCGGGUUGUAAACCGUUUUCGCCUGUGACGAAGCGUGAGUGACGGUAAUGGGUAAAGAAGCACCGGCUAACUACGUG